AUUGAACGCUGGCGGCAGGCCUAACACAUGCAAGUCGAACGGUAACAGGAAGCAGCUUGCUGCUUUGCUGACGCGUGGCGGACGGGUGAGUGAUGUCUGUGAAACUGCCUGAUGGAGGGGGAUAACUACUGGAAACGGUAACUAAUACCGCAUAACGUCGCAAGACCAGAGAGGGGGACCUUCGGGCCUCUUGCCCUCUGAUGUGCCCAGAUGGGAUUAGCUAGUAGGUGGGGUAACGGCUCACCUAGGCGACGAUCCCUAGCUGGUCUGAGAGGAUGACCAGCCACACUGGAACUGAGACACGGUCCAGACUCCUACGGGAGGCAGCAGUGGGGAAUAUUGCACAAUGGGCGCAAGCCUGAUGCAGCCAUGCCGCGUGUAUGAAGAAGGCCUUCGGGUUGUAAAGUACUUUCAGCGGGGAGGAAGGGAGUAAAGUUAAUACCUUUGCGCAUUGACGGUACCCGCAGAAGAAGCACCGGCUAACUCCGUG
rnacentral:rRNA from 1 species